UCAGGCCUAACACAUGCAAGUCGAACGGUAACGACGGGAGCUUGCUCCCGGGCGACGAGUGGCGGACGGGUGAGUAACACUUGGGAAUCUGCCCAGUAGUGGGGGACAACAUUCGGAAACGGAUGCUAAUACCGCAUACGCACUACGGUGGAAAGUGGGGGAUCUUCGGACCUCACGCUAUUGGAUGAGCCCAAGUCGGAUUAGCUUGUUGGUGAGGUAAAGGCUCACCAAGGCGACGAUCCGUAGCUGGUCUGAGAGGACGAUCAGCCACACUGGGACUGAGACACGGCCCAGACUCCUACGGGAGGCAGCAGUGGGGAAUAUUGGACAAUGGGCGCAAGCCUGAUCCAGCAAUGCCGCGUGUGUGAAGAAGGCCUGCGGGUUGUAAAGCACUUUCAGUAGAGAAGAAAAGCCUAGGGCUAAUACCCCUGAGUCUUGACGUAACCUACAGAAGAAGCACCGGCUAACUCCGUGCCAGCAGCCGCGGUAAUACGGAGGGUGCGAGCGUUAAUCGGAAUUACUGGGCGUAAAGCGCGCGUAGGCGGCUUUGUAGGUCGGAUGUGAAAGCCCCGGGCUUAACCUGGGAAUUGCAUUCGAUACUGCAGAGCUAGAGUACGGUAGAGGGAAGUGGAAUUCCGGGUGUAGCGGUGAAAUGCGUAGAUAUCCGGAGGAACACCAGUGGCGAAGGCGACUUCCUGGG
rnacentral:rRNA from 1 species